rnacentral:lncRNA from 1 species
AUUAGCAUAAAAAUCUACUAGUUUUGCGUUUUUGCAAAAAUAGGCCACCUUUUUUUAUUUUAAAGAUCAGGUCUGAAUUUUCAGUAAACUGAUUAAAAUAAUCUUAUUCUUCUUUUUCUCUCCUUUCUCUCUCGUUCAUUUUUCUCUUUCCCCUUCGUCUCCGCCCUCCCCACCGUUCCUUCCUCUCUUUUUCCUUCCACUUCCUCUUUCUUCUCCGUAGCUCCCACGUUGACGUCAUGCUCCUCCUUCCUACCUUGCCCAGAUAUGGUGUAA